rnacentral:lncRNA from 1 species
GACUUAGAGAGGUUGGAACACUAAGAAAUUAAGGUUUCCCAUAUUAGAAAAAUUUGGAUGCAUGAGGGAAUUGGAGGAGAAAUCCAGGCUAUUUAUAGAAGAUUUUUUUGAAAUCAUCUCACCGUUGAAUUUGGACUUGUUGAAUUAUAAGUCUCUAGCUGAUUGAGUAUUAGAAAUAAGAUGAGUUUUAAUGUGUGUAUUCACUUGAGCAUAUCUGCCAAGUGUAAGGUUAAAUGAUGUAAGGCCAUGAGUGCCAUGUGGUGUUUGAUCCAUGUAAUUAGGUUGAUGAGUGACUAAGAUUAAAAGUAGUGUUUUGUGUGGUCCUAAAGCUAAGGCCAUCAGUUAAAUGUAAAGCAGAGUUAGUGCGCUUUUUUCUAGCAGUACAAAUAUUCCUCUGCAAUACUUUUGCAGCUGAGAGAAUAAGAAAGAAAAAACUUUUCGGUUCAACUUCUAUCUUUGCUUUGCUUCUGUUCAGCAUUCUGAAAAUAAACCCAGCAAAAUCAAGCUACACUAACAUGGCCUCAGAGCCUUGUUUCGAUUAGAUCUGGGCGUGUUUCUGUGAGCUCAAACAUCACCGUUUCUGGACUCGGUGAAGUUUGCCGGAGUUUGUUUGUGAGCUAAGAACUACGUGUUUCUGGAUUCACACAAGCUCACGAUGGCUGGAUCUGGGAGUGCUGAAGUGAGGACUCCGAUCUUCUCCGGUGAGAACUACGAGUUCUGGAGAAUCAAAAUGGUUACCAUUUUCAAGUCAUAUGGACUGUGGAAUCUGGUGGAAAAAGGGAUUUCGGUUUCUGAUUCGAAGAAGAAGAAAGCUAAGACUGAUGAAGAUACAGAUGUUGAUGCUGACGAUGAUGAGAAAAUGGCUGCAACCUUCAUGAAAGAUGCAAAAGCACUCGGAAUCAUUCAAAACGUAGUCUCUGAUCAGAUUUUCCCUCGAAUCGCAAACGCAGACUCAGCAAAAAUGGCAUGGGAUCUGUUAUAUGGCGAAUAUCACGGUGGGGAUCAGGUAAGAUCUGUGAAACUCCAGAAUCUUAGACGAGAAUUUGAAUACACUAGAAUGCGUGAUGAUGAAUCUUUGACUGGGUAUCUUACUCGUUUAAAUGAUCUGAUUAAUCAAAUGAAGACGUUUGGUGAAAUUCUGUCAAAUGAGAGAUUAGUUCAGAAGGUGUUAAUCAGUCUCACUAAGAUAUAUGAUCCUAUAUGCUUAGUGAUAGAAAACACCAAAUGUUUAGAAUCUGUUGAACUGCAAGAGGUACUAGCUAUAUUGAAGAGUCAAGAGCAGAGGUUUGAUUUGCAUUCCUCUGAUGCAACUGAGAGAGCAUUUUCUUCUCUUACUGUUAGUUCAAAAGGGCAGAAUCGAAGUUAUGCUCAGUCUAGUACUUUUAAACCACAGAAAAAUUGGAAUCAAAAGGGUAAGAAAUGGGAUUUAAAACCAAAGUUUCAGCAAAAAUCAUACACAAAUGUUGCACAGAAUAGUAUUUCCUCACAGAUUAUGGGUCAAGAGAGUGUAAAACCUCAAUGUAAGGUGUGUUCAAAGUUUCAUUAUGGUGAAUGUAGAUAUAAGGGGAAAUCCAAGUGCCAUAACUGUGAUAGAUUUGGUCAUUGGGCCAGAGAGUGUACUGUUGGAAAGUCUGUUCAAAAGGCAAACUGUGCAAGUCAAAUGGAAGUGACAGGAAACUUAUUUUAUGCAAACUGUGCAGUUGCUGAGACUAAGGUUAAUGGAGAUUGGUACAUAGAUAGUGGCUGCAGUAAUCAUAUGACAGGAAAUGUUGAUCUUCUUGUUGAUGUGAAUACAAAUGUUGCAGGGAAAGUUCAAAUGCCAACAGGAGGGUUAGUUAAUGUGGCAGGAAUGGGAUCACUGGAAAUUGAGACUAACAGAGGAAGAAAAUACAUUCGAGAAGUCAUGUACUUACCUGGUUUGAAGGAUAAUCUAUUAAGUGUAGGACAAAUGGAUGAGCACGGAUACUAUCUUGUGUUUGGUGGACAUAUGUGUACUGUUUUUGAUGGUCCUUCUCUGAAAUGUCAAAUUAUCCGUGUAAAAAUGAAAGAAAACAGGUGCUAUCCUCUAUCUCUACGGCCUGAGAAACAACUUGUGUUGAAGACCAGUUUUGCUCAUUGUUCUCUGACUUGGCACAGAAGAUUAGGUCACCUACACUUUGGUGGAAUUAAGAAAUUGAAGGAUAAUGACAUGGUACAUGGAUUACCAUAUCUAGAUGAGUAUGACAAAGUGUGUGAAGGCUGUCAAUAUGGUAAGCAACACAGAGAAAGGUUUCCUAGUGGUCAAGCACAAAGAGCUGGUGCUCCACUUGAAUUGGUUCAUGUAGAUCUGUGUGGACCGAUGAGAAUCGAGUCUACUGGAGGAAACAAGUACUUUAUGUUGCUUGUAGAUGAUGCAACCAGGAUGAUAUGGGUGUAUUUUCUUAGAUUCAAAUCUGAAGCUUUUACUUGUUUUCAGAAAUUCAAGGCCAUGACUGAGUUGCAAAGUGGAAUGAAGGUAAAAUGUGUAAGGAGUGAUAGAGGAGGGGAGUUCUUAUCAAAUGAAUUCAAGCAAUACUGUGACAUAGAGGGAAUCCAAAGGCAACUGUCUCUCUCUUACACUCCACAGCAAAAUGGAGUGGUUGAAAGAAAAAACAGAACUGUGAUUGAAAUGGCCAAGUCUAUGCUUCAUGACAAAGGAAUGCCUUACUAUAUGUGGGCAGAAGCUGUGCAUACUGCUGUCUAUCUGUUAAACAGAUGCCCUACCAAAUCACUGGAUAGUAUAACACCUUUUGAAGCUUACAGCAAAAGGAAACCAGGUAUUGCUCAUUUGAAGGUUUUUGGCUCAGUUUGUUAUGUUCAUACUCCAUCCGAGCUAAGACACAAGCUAGAACCCAAGAGUAUAAAAGGAGUCUUUGUUGGAUAUGCAAAAUGUGAGAAAGGCUAUAGAGUAUUUGAUCCAAUCUCUAAGAGACUGAUUCUGUCAAGAGAUGUUGUGUUUGAUGAAAACUCAGCUUGGGAUUGGGAAAGAAGCACUGAAAGAUAUAUGUCACUGCCUACUUAUGAGUUUGACUCUGUUGAUACACAAAGAAGUGAAAAUGCAGAAAAUGACCCUCAAUUUUCAAGUGAUUUAUCAUCUGGAAUAUUGGAAGAAGCUGCAAGUGGUAUUGAUGAUACACAGAUCAACUCUCAGUCAAGUGCAGGUGUGAAUGACACUCAGUUUUUUUAUCAUACUCCAUUAAAAUGGAGAAAGCUGGAUGAUGUUCUUGCUCAGUGUAAUCUUUGUAUUAUAGAACCAGAGAAAUAUGAAGAUGCAGCUAAGGAUGAAUCUUGGAUGAAUGCUAUGAAGGAUGAGCUCUCCAUGAUUGAAAAGAAUGCAACCUGGGAGUUAGUGGACAUGCCAAGUAACAAGCCUAUAAUUGGAGUAAAAUGGGUGUUUAAAACCAAACUCAACCUGGAUGGAACUGUGCAAAAGAACAAGGCAAGGCUUGUUGCAAAGGGAUAUGCACAGAAACCAGGAAUAGACUACAAUGAGACCUUUGCUCCUGUUGCUCGAUUAGAUACAAUCAGAACCCUUAUAGCAUUGGCUGCACAAAAGAGUUGGAAACUCUAUCAACUUGAUGUUAAAUCGGCUUUUUUAAAUGGUGUUCUAGAAGAUGAGGUUUAUGUGGAGCAACCUGAUGGUUUUGUAGCUAAAGGGGAGGAAGACAGGGUAUAUAAACUUCACAAAGCCUUGUAUGGUCUAAAACAGGCACCACAGGCCUGGUAUGGAGAGAUAGAUACAUAUUUCUCACAAUGUGGUUUCACAAGAAGUUUAAGUGAACCAACACUGUACAUCAAGACAGAAGAGGAAGGCAUUUUGAUUGUGUCGAUCUAUGUGGAUGACAUAAUCUAUACUGGGAGCAACAAACAAAUGCUUGAAGAAUUCAAGGAAGACAUGAAACGAAAGUAUGAGAUGACUGAUUUGGGCCUUCUCCAUCAUUUUCUUGGAAUGGGAAUAAUUCAAACCACUUCAAGCAUUUUCAUCCACCAAAAGAAAUAUGCAAACUCUCUGUUAGACAAAUUUGGUCUAAAAGAGUGCAAACCUGUGCUUACUCCAUUGGUUGCAACUGAGAAGUUAACCACGGAUGAUGGAAGUGGUGCUGCAAGUGAAGAAUUAUACAGAAGUUUGGUGGGAAGUCUCUUAUAUCUCACUGCAACCAGGCCUGAUAUUAUGUAUGCAUCCAGUCUGUUAGCUAGAUUUAUGCACUGCCCUACCAGUAAGCAUGUUGGAACUGCUAAAAGAGUGCUAAGAUACAUUAAGGGUACACUUGAUUAUGGUCUGGAAUAUGUGAAAGGUAAGGACUCAAUGUUAAUUGGGUUCUGUGACAGUGACUGGAGUGGAUCAAUUGAGGACAGUAAAAGUACUUCUGGUUAUGCUUUCUCCUUCGGCAGUGGAGUAUUCUCUUGGGCAUCUGUGAAGCAAAAUUGCGUUGCUCUUUCCACUGCAGAAGCAGAGUACAUCAGUGCUUCAGAAGCAACUACUCAAGCCAUUUGGUUGAGAUUUGUUCUUGAAGACUUUGGUGAAUUUCAAACCGAAGCCACUCCAGUGCACUGUGACAACACCUCAGCAAUUGCAAUCACCAAGAACUCUGUGUUUCAUCAAAAGACCAAACACAUUAACAGAAGAUACCAUUUCAUUAAGGAUGCACUGAAGGAUGGCAUCAUUGAUCUGGUGUACUGUCCAACUAAUGAGCAACUUGCUGAUAUCUUCACAAAACCUUUGCCUAAAGAUCGGUUUAAUUAUCUCAGGAGCAUGCUAGGAGUGAAAUCAGCUCAAGACUUAAAGGGGAAUGUUGAAUUAUAAGUCUCUAGCUGAUUGAGUAUUAGAAAUAAGAUGAGUUUUAAUGUGUGUAUUCACUUGAGCAUAUCUGCCAAGUGUAAGGUUAAAUGAUGUAAGGCCAUGAGUGCCAUGUGGUGUUUGAUCCAUGUAAUUAGGUUGAUGAGUGACUAAGAUUAAAAGUAGUGUUUUGUGUGGUCCUAAAGCUAAGGCCAUCAGUUAAAUGUAAAGCAGAGUUAGUGCGCUUUUUUCUAGCAGUACAAAUAUUCCUCUGCAAUACUUUUGCAGCUGAGAGAAUAAGAAAGAAAAAACUUUUCGGUUCAACUUCUAUCUUUGCUUUGCUUCUGUUCAGCAUUCUGAAAAUAAACCCAGC